AACGAACGCUGGCGGCGCGCCUAACACAUGCAAGUCGAACGAGAAGGCGUAGCAAUACGCUUGUACAGUGGCGAACGGGUGAGGAACACGUGGGUAACCUACCCUCGAGUGGGGAAUAACCAACCGAAAGGUUGGCUAAUGCCGCGUAAGCUUCCAUCUCUUCGGAGGUGGAAGGAAAGCUGUACCGUGGGUACAGCGCUCAAGGAUGGGCUCACGUCCUAUCAGCUUGUUGGUAGGGUAACGGCCUACCAAGGCAACGACGGGUAGCUGGUCUGAGAGGACGAUCAGCCACACUGGCACUGCGACACGGGCCAGACUCCUACGGGAGGCAGCAGUGAGGAAUAUUGCGCAAUGGGCGAAAGCCUGACGCAGCGACGCCGCGUGGGGGAU
rnacentral:rRNA from 1 species